rnacentral:rRNA from 1 species
GACGAACGCUGGCGGCGUGCUUAACACAUGCAAGUCGAACGGAAAGGCCCUGCUUUUGUGGGGUGCUCGAGUGGCGAACGGGUGAGUAACACGUGAGUAACCUGCCCUUGACUUUGGGAUAACUUCAGGAAACUGGGGCUAAUACCGGAUAGGAGCUCCUGCUGCAUGGUGGGGGUUGGAAAGUUUCGGCGGUUGGGGAUGGGCUCGCGGCUUAUCAGCUUGUUGGUGGGGUAGUGGCUUACCAAGGCUUUGACGGGUAGCCGGCCUGAGAGGGUGACCGGCCACAUUGGGACUGAGAUACGGCCCAGACUCCUACGGGAGGCAGCAGUGGGGAAUAUUGCACAAUGGGCGGAAGCCUGAUGCAGCAACGCCGCGUGCGGGAUGACGGCCUUCGGGUUGUAAACCGCUUUCGCCUGUGACGAAGCGUGAGUGACGGUAAUGGGUAAAGAAGCACCGGCUAACUAUGUG